ensembl:lncRNA PART1 prostate androgen-regulated transcript 1
AAGAUUCAUCGUCUUGAACUUGAUACACAUAGUAUAGCACCUUAAAAACGAAUCAUCUGCUAGUUCAGUAUUUUCUACUUACAAUCACUCCCUCCCAGGGCAUGUAAUUAAUUUACUGAGCUUAAAAAAAAAAUAUCAGGAUUACUCACACAGUCUUGAAGAUGCAAUGUCAGCUAUUUAGGACAGAAACAUCCAAGGCCGUGUCAGAACUCAAUUACGACUACAUAUGCAUUAAGGCAGGAACUGGCAGGCCUCAGGGUACGCCAACUAUAGGACUCGUGCUUCUCGUACGCUGGGCUAUAAUCUAUGAAACUGAGCUCCAGAGCCAGCCAAUCACUUAGCUCCUCAUAACAAGUCUAACUGGCUCUGGAAAGCUGAAAGGGCUGCACUGGAACAACACAGAUGAGAUAUUCUACACAUUAAUCUACUUAUCUGGAAUCACUUUGCCUCUAAAGGCCAGAGAAAAAUCACAGCUUCCUUGUCGGAGGGGAAAAGGACAGGUGAUCUGGGGAAAACGCAGCUACACCUGGAGCAAGGUCUCUUCCCGGCUUGGCAAUCUCAGCUGUGCCGGCGCUACGGGACCCGAGCCGUCCCAGAAACCAAAGGGCAGGCACGGCAGCAAACGCCUGAGGACUGAGAAGACGUCAAGGUCCAGACACUCGUCAUUAACACCUACUCACAACCGAUUCCCCCACCCACUUUGGCCUCACCAAGAUUUGGCAAGCAGGAGAAUUAAAUGUCACUUUGCUACCAUCCUCUGCUGAACCUCCAACAGAAAAACCCAUAUUGCCCAAGUACAAAGCAUGAAAUACUGCUGGCCUACCCUGACUUUUCAGCUAUUCUCCUUGCAUAUAGUAAAUGACUCCCCAGGAGACAUCAUCUUAAAGUCUGAGACACAAAAAAGGACCCAAAGUCCUAUAUGCUUGAAGAAUUGCAUGGCAAUAUAUUUAGUUAACAUUUUCUAUUUUAUUAGAAAAAACAGACAAUUCAAUUGUCGAUGUGAUCGUUUCAGGCUUCCCAGCCUCUCCUUUCUGACAUCAUCCUAUAUACUACAACCUCCACCAGAAAAGCAGUAUGGUACUGGGAAAAAGAGAUCUAAAGGCAGAACACUAGGGCUUCACUCUCAGCACUGUUAACUGAGUGACUUGACUAAGUCACUGAAAUUCACUGAAACUGCAGUUUCCCCUUCUGUCAAAGGGGGAUAACAAUAUCAGCUUCACAGGGUGCUGUGAAGGAAGCAAAUGAGAAAAUGAAAGUGAGCAUCCUUUUAAAUUAUAAACAGAGAAUAAGGGAGAGGGGAGGGGGAAGGGGAGAGGAGGAAGAAAGGAAACAAUCUGCCCUCCCUCACCCCUUCACACUAGGUAAAAUAAAAUGUUUAGACAGAAAAACCUAAAGAAAAGGAUCCAAAUAAAAUAUUCUUAGGAACUGUCAAAGGGAGAAGACAUUGGAAUCUCCAAAUCUGGCCAAGAGCUCAGCCUAAGCAGCAUGUUUUGAACUCCUGAGUCCUUGGAACCCUGCACUAAAGCUUUGGGACUCUGACCUGCAGGAAAAAAAAAAAAAAAAUGCUUCCCUCAGUUCAUUCCCUGUAGUUUAAAAACAAGAGCAACUAAAGGGCAAGCUUCGGGGGCAAGGGGAGACAAACACCUCAGACCAUUAACUUACUUUAUCCCCAUUGGAAAUCAACUUCUGGAGAACAUUUCAGCUUUGUAUGCUCUUCUUGGUCCCACUCAAAUGGGAAGUUCUGCUCGAGGCCAGAAAUAGAAAACAGGAAGUCAACAGAACUGAUUUUCCUAACUGCCCAAAUGCAAAUCACCACACUCCGUUAUGGAUGAGAAUUAGAGUAAAAUGUAAACUUCUUUUUAAAAAGAAGUUCACAUGCUAACUGUGUACAGAAAACAUCCUACUCCAGGGAAGAAAGAAAGAAAGAAAGAAAGGAAAGAUCCAUCAGCUUCCUUCCUUAAUAAAGGAGGAUUGACAGAGCUGGACUGACAGUGAAGUAAAGGUUACCGACGGUGUGCUCAUCAGAACCAUGCUGCCACUAAAAAUAAUGAAGUGUCCCACUUUGAUGCGACACUAUUCUCCAAGUUGGUUCCUCUAAAGGUGCUUUUCUUCAAGGGAAGCAGAUACUAAAGUGACAACUUUCUCAUUACCAUUCAGACUAUUUUCUUAGAGUCCCAGGUUUGAAACUUUCAAGUUGAAACUCUAAGCUGCACCCACUGCAUACAGACUUCUUAGUCAGUUUCUGUCACGUACCAUCAUAUCUACCUUAUUUGCAUCAGUCAUAAAUUCUGCUCAUUCUUCUAUCACAGCUCCUCUGACAUUUGCCAGACCUCACCAUUUCCUCAGCCAUUUCUGGUCUGAAUCAUCAGCCCCCCAUGCCUGCUGCCUGCUCUCUUCUAUAAACAUACCAGAUGAAUCUUUCCAGCAUGCUGCUUCCCCUGCCCCCAAGUCAGCCACAGUUCCCUACUACCUAUUGAUCACAUCUGAGUUGCCUCAGCCAGUGGUCUUGCCAUAUCUACCUAGCUUAGGCUGAGUGUUAUAGGAGAAAGUGCACUAGCCCGGGCACCAGAUGGAUCAGGUAAGACUCUAGCUUAGGUAAGCUUUAUCACAUCAUAUAGUGGCUGUGUGGAUUGAGGAAAAUUAUGAAACUUCUUUGCACUUCAGUUUUCUCAUUUGCAGAAUGAAGAUAAUAACACCUACCUAUACAGUUACUAAGGAUUAAAUAGGAUAAUAUGCACAAAGUGACCCUAGUGAGUUUCAGUAAGAAGAAUUAAUGCUUAUGAAGUGCUUAUCACAUUCCAGCUUCUGUUCUGUGUGCUGUGCAUGUGUUUAUGCAGGUAUUAUUAUUAACCUCAUUUUGCAGAAGAGGAACUUGAGGCAAGAGAGAGCGUGUAAAGUCACAUAACAAAUCCACAGAAGAGCUAGCCUUUGAACUCCAACAGCCUGACUCCAGUGCCUGCAUAUGUAACUCCAUGCUCUACUGCCUCCCAUUUCCCUUUCCCUCCAACUUUCACCGGCUAACACAGCCCACAGGUCCACCUCAGUCCUUCUCAUCCUUCCAGUCUUCCCUCCACAUUCCAACUACCUGUGACAAAUGCUAUCCUGCAUUUUCUCUCCAAUCUUACCUGACAUCUUGAAGGGAGCAGUUCAGUUACAGCAUUCUCUCCAUACCCAACUAUACCAUCUCUCUACUCUUUAUCUUGCCCUCACAUACACAUAAGUUUGUCAUUGUUCUUCAGUUCUUUGGGUAAUCUCUUCCUAGAAACUGCAUCUAACAAAUAGACCACAUCCCCAAAUUCCAUCAUGUCCAAAAAGAAGCACGGUAUUUCCAUCAACACCCCAGCUGCCAUCACCAAGCCAACUCGCCUGACUUCCAUUCACUUACUAGCAAACAUUUACCAAGUAUCUGCCAUGUUCAUUUUGUCAAUGAGAAUGACAUGGGACUUGUUCCUCUAGGAGAUCACAGUCUAAUGAGAUCAAUGUUUAUAUAGAAAAUGUAAAUAGGUUGUGAUAAGUACUAAAUGCACGCUGCUAAUGGCAUCAUCACCUCUGGCUCUUCUCAAUCCUGCGUUUCCCAUGUUGUGUCAUGCAACAGAGCUGUCACACUGCCUCUUCCUCUUCAUCUCUGGUGCCACCUGUGAUUUACUUGCACACUACCUUGUUUCUGAACUAUUGCAGCCCCUCCCAACUUAUCUCACUGCCUCAUUCACCUGCCUUUCAAAACUGGCCCACCUCCUGCUGCCCAAUAACCUGAUGUUGUCACUCUCAUAUUUAAAACCCAUAAGUGCUGCCGGGAGCGGUGGCUCACGCCUGUAAUCCCAGCACUUUGGGAGGCCGAGGCGGGCGGAUCACAAGGUCAAGAGAUCGAGACCAUCCUGGCCAACGUGGUGAAGCCCAGCCUCUACUAAAAAUACAAAAAUUAGCUGGGCGGGGUGGCACACACCUGUAGUCCCAGCUACUUGGCAGGCUGAGGCAGGAGAAUUGCUUGAACCCGGAGGCAGAGGUUGCAGUGAGCCGAGAUUGCACUACUGCACUCCAGACUGGUGACGGAGCGAGACGCUGUCAAAAAAACAAAACAAAACAAAAAACAUAUCAAUGCUGAUGAACCAAGUGCAAAGCCCUGAGCUUGGCCAGGCAACAUAGCCUGGAAACCUGACUUUUAAUCCUUACUUUGCUCUAUUCCCCCAACAUACACACACUUCAUACACCACACCUAAAAGAGACUUCCCACAGUUUUCCAAAAAUGACUCACAUUUAUAUUUCCUGUUUUUCCCUUUGCCCACCCUGCCCUCUCUCCCUCUGCCUUCAUUUUUUUAAUUAACCUCUGGAACUCAGGUGCUCCUGCUCCAAGGUUUAGGUCAAAAGUUACCUCCUCCAUGAAGCUUUCUCUCAUUCUCCCACAAUGUGUGAAAGCCCCAUUCUCAGAUUUGCUUAGUUGUGCAUUUGUAUAUUCUACCUUGCACUACAGUCAUUUGUAUAUUUAUCUUAUGGUUUCUGUGCCUUAGGAAAGGUACACUGUCUUAAUCAUCUUUGUUCAAUACAGUGCCUAGCAGAGUGCCUCAAGUAUAAUAUGUGCUCAAUAAAUAAUAGAUGCAUUUUUCCAUGCAUAUUUUCUACUAUAUCGAAGUGGAAAAUAUAUCCAUGUGAUAUAGUGAAAAAUAUCUCAUGAAGAGAGAUACAGUGAGGAAAAUAUCUCAUGAAGACCAAAAAGCAGAAAUCCAAGUUUUUUCUUUUCAUUACUAUCAUCAGUGAUUAUUAAUUUUAUGUGUCAACUUGGUUGGGCUUAGGGAUGCUCAGAUAGCUGGUAAAAUAUUAUUUCUGGAUGUGUCUCUCAGGGUGUUUCUGGGGGAAAUUAGCAUUUGAAUCAGUAGACUAAAUAAAGAAAAUCUGCCCUCACAAAUGUGAGCCAGCAUCAUCCAAUUUAUUGACAGUUUAGAUACAACAAUAAGGCAGAAGAAGGUGAACUCUCUUUCCUUGAGCUGGGACAUCCAUCUUCUCCUGCUCUGACAUUGGAGUUUCUAGUUCUUGGGACUUCAGAUUCUCCCCUGAAGUUUCUCAGGCCUUUUGGCAUCAGACUGGAAGUUAUGCCAUUGGCUCCCCUGGUUCUCAGACCUUUGGACUCAGACUGAAUUAUACCACUGGCUUUCCUGGUUCUCCAGCUUCAAGAUGACAUAUUGUGAGACUUUUCAACCUCCAUAAUUGCAUGAGCCAAUUUCCACAAUAUAUCUCCUCUUAUGUAUCUAUAUAUUUCCUAUUGGUUUUGUUUCUCUACAGAAUCCUAAUAGAUCAUCUAAUUGUUUAUCUAACAAGUAUUUUCCUCCCUAGACAAUAUGUUGGGCACUAGGGACACAAAAAUAAAAACACAGACAUCUGCACUCAAUAAACUUACAUUCAAUAUCAGAGAGAUUGGCACAGAAUACAAAUAAAAUGAGAUACAUGCAAAAUAAUAUGAAUUGCAAAAUUACGGCAAUUCACCACCAACUAGGUGUGUGACCGUGGGAAAAUCACACUGUGAGCUAAAUAUUAGCAAGUUUAAAAUGCAAAAUCAGAGGCAGUCUAUGAAUUGGACUUUGCUAAUGGCCUCCUUUGCUGAUGGAUGGCACAUUGGUGUUAGAAAGUGCUUAUUUUUGCAAAGGUCCAUUAUUGAUGCUUUAAUUCUAAGGAAAUUAUGUAGGCAGAAACUAAAGAAAGGUUAAAAAAACAGCAGCUAAAAUUGAUACUUAGACAAUAAAAAACUAAUUAUAAGUGAUUUAUCAGCACCACUAGAUAACUACAUUGGUGAAAUUUAAGGCCAUGAAAUGCAGGACAAGCCUCGUAGGAAGCAAGGUCCCAGUGGAUGAGAUGCUGUCCUCUGGGCUCCUAACCUUCCACCACUAGUAUUCACCAUAUCUGAUUGGAAAUGUGUGCAUGUGAGUCGGCCUCCCCUCUAUGAUGUGAGUAGGGACCUAUUUUUGCUCAUCUCUGUAUCCUCUACACACGAUGCUUGGCACACAGCAAGUAUUCAAUAAAUGUUUAUGAAUGAAGCAAUC